AGUGAACGCUGGCGGUAGGCCUAACACAUGCAAGUCGAACGGCAGCACAGUAAGAGCUUGCUCUUACGGGUGGCGAGUGGCGGACGGGUGAGGAAUACAUCGGAAUCUACUUUUUCGUGGGGGAUAACGUAGGGAAACUUACGCUAAUACCGCAUACGACCUACGGGUGAAAGCAGGGGAUCUUCGGACCUUGCGCGAUUGAAUGAGCCGAUGUCGGAUUAGCUAGUUGGCGGGGUAAAGGCCCACCAAGGCGACGAUCCGUAGCUGGUCUGAGAGGAUGAUCAGCCACACUGGAACUGAGACACGGUCCAGACUCCUACGGGAGGCAGCAGUGGCGAAUAUUGGACAAUGGGCGCAGGCCUGAUCCAGCCAUACCGCGUGGGUGAAGAAGGCCUUCGGGUUGUAAAGCCCUUUUGUUGGGAAAGAAAAGCAGCAGGUUAAUACCCCGCUGUUCUGACGGUACCCAAAGAAUAAGCACCGGCUAACUUCGUG
rnacentral:rRNA from 1 species